rnacentral:rRNA from 1 species
GACGAACCGUGCGAACGUUGUCCGGAAUCAUUGGGCGUAAAGCGCGCGUAGGCGGCCCGGUAAGUCCGCUGUGAAAGUCAAAGGCUCAACCUUUGAAUGUCAGCGGAUACUGCCGGGCUAGAGUCCGGAAGAGGCGAGUGGAAUUCCUGGUGUAGCGGUGGAAUGCGCAGAUAUCAGGAGGAACACCAACGGCGAAGGCAGCUCGCUGGGACGGUACUGACGCUGAGGCGCGAAAGCGUGGGGAGCGAACAGG